GAUGGGUUAUACAUAUAUUUAUCUCAUAAUUUUCGUGAAUACUUAUUAAACUUAACUAUAGUGAGUGCGAAAGUGACAGCAAAAAACAAGUUGCAAAUGUCAAAUACAAAAAUGAAUCGCGUUUAAUUCUGUGAAAAUCUCCAAGCGAAAAGAAAAACAUAUUCACAACAUCAAGAGAGUUGAUAUCAACAAAUCCUUUACAGCUAGUGGAUGUGCCGGAGAUGCAGUAUUUCGCCAGUCAAAACAAUGGGGAGGUGUGCGUGCGCGGUUCUAACGUAUUCCACGGAGCUGCAUCAUAGCCGUCGUCGUGCCUGAUGUGGAUGUUCUCAAGCAGUGGGCGAACGACAAUCGCGUCAAGGGCACACUUUCGGUGCUAUGCAAUAAUCCAUAAGUAAAAGAACUCAUCAGGAGCGAUAUGCUGAAUUGGGGUAAGCAGAGCGGACUGAAAUCCUUCGAACAGGUCAAGGAUAUAUAUUUGCAUCCCGAUCCGUUUUCGGUACAAAAUGGACUACUCACACCAACAUUCAAAGCGAAGCGGCCACAAUUGAACAAAACAGUGCGAGAAACCCCGUAGAGGAGUUAGAACUAAAAUGCGAACAAUUUUAAACUUUAUGCGAAAAUAGAAAAAACAUGCAAUUGCUAUUUAUUUAAUUAGGCAUCAAUUUAAAUUUCUGCAAAAUAGAUAUUUUAAAUACCGGCAUA